rfam:Oryza brachyantha chromosome 9, whole genome shotgun sequence.
CAUAAUAACCUCAUUUUUUUUCCGUGUUCAACGUUUGACCAUUCGUCUUAUUUAAAAAUUUUUUGCGAUUAAUAUUUUUGUUAUUAUUAGAUGAUAAAAUAUGAAUAUUACUUUAUACGUGACUAAUUUUUUUAAGUUUUUUAUAAAUUUUUCAAAUAAGACGAAUAAUCAAACGUUGAACACGGAAAAACGAAAAAUAAGCUUAUU